CGCUCUUCCUUCUGAGACUCAGGCCGCCGUGCCCAGGGACGAGCCCUUCCCCUCCCGGAGCAACUUCCUGCGGUUGGAGAACACUCUAGAGAGCCCUGGAGACCGCUGGUCUCCACCCAGGCUCCGGCUCCACUCUCAAGUUGCAGGGAGUGGCUUGAAGCAUCAGCAGGCUGUGCCUUCUGCCCGGGGACAGCAGGGAGGGUCAGGGCAGCUGUGCUGGCCGUCAGGAGUCGGGGUGGUCCGGGCCUGCGUCCCAGGGGAUGACGGCGGAGCACCGCACAUAGCUGGUCUCUGUUUGAUCCGAAUCCACACCCCGGGGGUUGGAACGCCCAGCUGCAUGUCACCUCACAGCGACAUCAGGCAGAAAGAAUUCAAACGCUGUCCCUGCCAGUCAGCCGGUGCCUCUACCCUCUGUGAGGAAAGCCGAGACGGCAUUCACUUCAACUCGGAUGGAAUUUCUCUCCAGUCCUGAUUUUCUGGGGCUCGUCUGCGGAGAUGAUGGCCUGGCCAGAGGGAGAAGGCGGACAGCGCCCCAGAGCACUUUAGUUUUGUGGGGCUAACUGGUAAGAUGGGUCUGACCUCUGCCACUUUUGUCUCAGGGGCAGUCUGAGUUUUAGUGGUCACUUUUUUUUUUUUUUUUCCUGUACCAGGAAUCGAGCUCACAACCUCGCGCUUGCCAGGCAGGCAUUGUGCUGCUGAGCUAAAUCCCCAGCCCCUAGUGGUCACUUCUGCAAUCAGGGCAUGGCGUAGGGGACCUCUUGUCAUGUUGGUUUUUACUGUAGUCUUUUUAAAGGUGGCCUGGCUUUUUGUAGUGGUGAGUUUAGUCAUUCAGCUUUUUGGGAGCCCCAAGAAUCAGACACAGAGUUUAAUUGUUUAAGGUUGUAACUGAGGCAGCCACUUGUUCUUGGUCUUUUUUUUUUUUUUUUUCUCUUUGGUCUAUUUUUGGUCUUGAUUAUAAACUGUGGAGACAUCAAUUUUUAUUAAAGUAUUGAUUGAGCUAUUUGGAGUAAAAACCAUCUUCUGUAGCUUUUUUUAAAUGUUGGAGGCUGACUGGGUAAUAAACUUGUUUUUAACAAUAACGUGUCUUUUUAUUGAAUCAGGAGCUAGAGACGUAUGAUUUAUCAGUGUCUCUUAUAAAUGAUCUAAGAAGACAGAGAGGUUUUUGUCUUUUUUUAAUGAAUAGUUGACAAUUUAAAAUAACUGAAGACUUUGUUUUUAUCUUUCUUUAGAUGUUUGGUUGAGAUAGGUCAGUAGCCAUCCUGUGCAGGGACUCUUGGGCUGUAGUAGGAGCUGGCUGUUUUGUCUUUGUUUUUGUUUUUUGCCUGUCUCACUUUGGGCCUUUUAAAAUUAACAA
rnacentral:lncRNA from 1 species